rnacentral:rRNA from 1 species
UACAGAGGGUGCGAGCGUUGUCCGGAAUCACUGGGCGUAAAGGGCGCGUAGGCGGCUUGAUAAGGUUGCGGUGAAAGCCCGGGGCUCAACCCCGGGUCGGCCGUGGCAACUGUCGAGCUGGAGCACUGUAGAGGCAGGUGGAAUUCCGGGUGUAGCGGUGGAAUGCGUAGAGAUCCGGAAGAACACCGGUGGCGAAGGCGGCCUGCUGGGCAGUGGCUGACGCUGAGGCGCGACAGCGUGGGGAGCGAACCGG